AAUGGAAAUCCAUUUCAUCUUUAAAGAGCUUACAGCAGGGACUCUUUUCCAUUGCCUUCAUUUCUUCCUGUCAUCUAACUGUGUUGUGAUUUAAUUUUAAUUUCUACAUUCAUUUCCAUUUAUGUUAGAGAGAUCAACCAGCUUUCACUCCUGGUGGAAUAUUAAACCCACAUGCCUUGGGUUCAAGAAAUUCACCAGGUUCUCAAGUAGCCAGUAAUCCGAGACAAGCAGCCUAUGAAAUGAGGAUGCAGAAUAAUUCUAGUCCUUCAGUAUCUCCUAAUACGAGUUUCACUUCUGAUGGCUCCCCAUCUCCGAUAGGAGGAAUUAAGCGAAAAGCAGAAGACAGUGACAGUGAACCUGAACCAGAGGAUAACGUCAGGCUUUGGGAAGCUGGGUGGAAGCAGCGGUACUACAAGAACAAAUUUGACGUUGAUGCAGC